AUGUCGCCACCGACGAAGAAAGAGAGGGCGGCAGAGGCCAGGGCGAGCUCGUCAAAACCGAUCGUCUCGGCGGCUCCCCAGGUUCAGCGGCGGAGGGUGGGUGGAGGCGGGUGGACGAGCUGCCGGAUAUCCUUCUACGCCUCCCGCGUCUACUUCCUGCUCAUCAUCCUCCAGAUCCCGCUCUUCAGGGUCCCUUGUAGAGCAGGCACAUGCACUACACCUAUUCAAAUUACAUCUUCACAGUUGGUCUCAAAUGAGAUAUUCCCACCAUCUGUUGUGAAGGCCAUGCUCUACCCUGGAGCUAUAGUGCGCAACCUCACUACAAGAAUGAGCAUGACAUUUCCAAGGUGGAGUGACCUGUUCGACAUAUACAAUCUGACAGAAGCUAAGAAUGCUUCAGCAGUAAUUGAUCUACAGCGUCUAGAGAUGCUUGCCGGAAGCUACUUCUGUGUUGCUGGAGCACUCGUUGGCAUCAUUAACCCUGGGAGGAUGAUCUUGUUUGGUACGCUUUUGGUUAUCUGGGGUCUCGUGAAAGAUGCGCUCUUCCGGAAGCCUGUGAUUAAUGAUCCAACAGAACCAGUAUAUGUCUAUCCUACCAUUUUGAUUGCACUGAUUUGUUCAUUCAUGUCAAUAACUUACAAUGUGAAGAAGGCGAUGAGCAGCCAGUCUGUUUCUAUCUCUAAGCCACUGCAAAGUUCUGCCAAGUCAAAACUGAAGUAG
rnacentral:rRNA from 1 species